GGUGAGUAACGCGUAUCCAACCUGCCCACCACUUGGGGAUAACCUUGCGAAAGUAAGACUAAUACCCAAUGAUAUCUCUAGAAGACAUCUGAAAGAGAUUAAAGAUUUAUCGGUGAUGGAUGGGGAUGCGUCUGAUUAGCUUGUUGGCGGGGUAACGGCCCACCAAGGCAACGAUCAGUAGGGGUUCUGAGAGGAAGGUCCCCCACAUUGGAACUGAGACACGGUCCAAACUCCUACGGGAGGCAGCAGUGAGGAAUAUUGGUCAAUGGACGAGAGUCUGAACCAGCCAAGUAGCGUGCAGGAUGACGGCCCUAUGGGUUGUAAACUGCUUUUAUAAGGGAAUAAAGUGAGUCUCGUGAGAUUUUUUGCAUGUACCUUAUGAAUAAGGACCGGCUAAUUCCGUGCCAGCAGCCGCGGUAAUACGGAAGGUCCGGGCGUUAUCCGGAUUUAUUGGGUUUAAAGGGAGCGUAGGCCGGAGAUUAAGCGUGUUGUGAAAUGUAGACGCUCAACGUCUGCACUGCAGCGCGAACUGGUUUCCUUGAGUACGCACAAAGUGGGCGGAAUUCGUGGUGUAGCGGUGAAAUGCUUAGAUAUCACGAAGAACUCCGAUUGCGAAGGCAGCUCACUGGAGCGCAACU
rnacentral:rRNA from 1 species